rnacentral:rRNA from 1 species
AUUGAACGCUGGCGGCAUGCCUUACACAUGCAAGUCGAACGGCAGCACGGGUGCUUGCACCUGGUGGCGAGUGGCGAACGGGUGAGUAAUACAUCGGAACGUACCCUAUCGUGGGGGAUAACGCAGCGAAAGCUGUGCUAAUACUGCAUACGCCCUGAGGGGGAAAGCGGGGGAUCGAAAGACCUCGCGCGAUUAGAGCGGCCGAUGCCUGAUUAGCUUGUUGGUGGGGUAAAAGCCCACCAAGGCGACGAUCAGUAGCUGGUCUGAGAGGACGAUCAGCCACACUGGGACUGAGACACGGCCCAGACUCCUACGGGAGGCAGCAGUGGGGAAUUUUGGACAAUGGGGGCAACCCUGAUCCAGCAAUGCCGCGUGAGUGAAGAAGGCCUUCGGGUUGUAAAGCUCUUUUGUCAGGGAAGAAACACCGGCUCUAACACAGUCCGGGAAUGACGGUACCUGAAGAAUAAGCACCGGCUAACUACGUGCCAGCAGCCGCAGUAA